CUACGGGUGGCUCCAGUGGGGAAUAUUGGACAAUGGGGGAAACCCUGAUCCAGCAAUGCCGCGUGUGUGAAGAAGGCCUGCGGGUUGUAAAGCACUUUCGGUUGGGAGGACUGCUUCUAGCACUAAUAUUGUUGGAAGUUGACGUUACCUUCAGAAGAAGCACCGGCUAACUCCGUGCCAGCAGCCGCGAGUAAUACGGAGGGUGCAAGCGUUAAUCGGAAUUACUGGGCGUAAAGCGCGCGUAGGUGGCUAGAUCAGUCGGGUGUGAAAGCCCCGGGCUUAACCUGGGAACUGCAUCCGAUACUGUCUAGCUUGAGUACAGGAGAGGAGAGUGGAAUUCCACAUGUAGCGGUGAAAUGCGUAGAUAUGUGGAGGAACACCGAUGGCGAAGGCAGCUCUCUGGCCUGAUACUGACGCUGAGGUGCGAAAGCGUGGGGAGCAAACAGGAUUAGAUACCCCGGUAGUC
rnacentral:rRNA from 1 species